GACGAACGCUGGUGGCGUGCUUAACACAUGCAAGUCGAACGGGAUUUAGUAAACAGAAGCCUCGGUGGAAGAUUACUAAUGAGAGUGGCGAACGGGUGAGUAACGCGUGAGCAACCUGCCUAUGACAGUGGGAUAGCCUCGGGAAACCGGGAUUAAUACCGCAUAAAAUCGUAGAAACACAUGUUUUAACGGUCAAAGAUUUAUCGGUCAUAGAUGGGCUCGCGUCUGAUUAGCUAGUUGGUGAGAUAACAGCCCACCAAGGCGACGGUCAGUAGCCGGUCUGAGAGGAUGAACGGCCACAUUGGAACUGAGACACGGUCCAAACUCCUACGGGAGGCAGCAGUGGGGAAUAUUGCACAAUGGGGGAAACCCUGAUGCAGCGACGCCGCGUGAACGAAGAAGGUAUUCGUAUCGUAAAGUUCUGUCCUAUGGGAAGAUAAUGACAGUACCAUAGAAGAAAGCUCCGGCUAAAUACGUG
rnacentral:rRNA from 1 species